rnacentral:sRNA from 1 species
GCCAGGCAUGGUGGCACAUGCCUGUAAUCUGAGACACUUAGGAAGCUGAGGCAGAAGGAUUGAUUACAAGUUGGAGGGCAACAUCACCAAUUUAGUGAUGGCCUAAGCAGCUCAGCAAGACUCUGCCUCAA